AUCAAACCAUCAAGGAGCCCAUGGUAGAUGAAAGCUCAUCCUCUGAGAGUCUUUGGGCUGAUGUUGCUAUAAGAGGUGUCUGGUAGCCACAGGAUUGAUAAAGGAGUGUACAUAUCAAGGAAGCUAUUGUUUGCUGGUAUGUUGUUGAGAGUCAGUGGAUUGUGGACUAAAGGGGAAACUGUCAAGAGUGGAGUGCAUGGUGACUGACUCUACCAGGAUUGUGUUUAGAUCAGCCUCAUUGCAAUUCUUCCUAUUCAUGCAAGUCAGUUCAGAGAUAUGAAGUUUGAUCCCAAUGGUCAUUUACUGUAUCCUCAUUGUGCUAGUACAUAUUACUAGUGUUUAGGUGAUACUUUGAUGAAGCAGUUGACGGUUUUUGAAGGAUCUCUUCUCUGUUUGGAAGGUGUGAUUCCAUAGAUAAACUCCAUAAAAGGUGUGAGACCAUUAAUUGUGAGGUACAGGACUCACAACAGUUCAAGGACUUCUACCAGUUUACGUUUAAUUUUGCCAAAAACUUGGGCAGAAAGGACUAGGCUAGUGACAUAAUAUUAUACAUAUCUUGAGAUGGCCA